AUGUUGACAUUUAAGAGAUAUACAGUUGACGUGUAUUAAAACACACACGAAAGGGCAAGUGUACACCGUCAUACAUGUAGUAAUGUAUCGGUAAGAACCAAGUGUCGAUCCAAGGAUGUGGGCGGAGGAAUAAUACUAAACCGUUGUUAUUAAAUUACCAGUAGGAAAAUAAGUGAGUGAUUUGUUUAAACUAAGAAUAAGACUAAAACAUAAAUUUUCAUUAACAUAAUAGACUCCAAAUAAGAAAAUAAAUAUAUAGCCUUGCUUCAUGCACAAGCAAAGUAUGUGAACUAAGUGGGUUUUGUCACUUAAAACACUUGGUCAAUUUUCCAUUUAUUCAAGACAAUCAGUAUCCCUUUCGGGAAUCCUAACAUGACAAUUCUUUGGAAAGCUAAAACGAUAAACACACUUUAACCACCUAAAAUUGUUCUUUAAUGCUCAAAUGACAAAUGUCUAUGAAAAUCCCCUAAAGAAAAAUUAGUCAUCCGUUAGGAGUUUUCUAACUUCACUUAAUCAAGGAAAGUGACACCGAUAAACAUAAUUUAACCACCGAGACAAGCAUAAACUUGAUUAAUCACAACCGAGUUCAUUUUACAAAUCUUGAACAUAAAUUCACCAAGAUAGCAAUUUUGGCCUAAACUACUAAGUAAGCUAACAAUUUAUGUCAAGAAUUCAUAACAACACCAUUUAACUCGUUAAGGUCCUUACGUGCGGGAAAGCUUUCUUGAUUAACAUUAAUUACCCCUUAUUAAACCACUAACCAUUUCUAGUAUCAUGGUGUACACAUUUGAAACAAGUUAAACUAGUUAAACAAGUUCAAAGUCUACUAAUACAUUAUUAAUUAAGCUUCUUCUUGCAAAUAUCUCAACUAACCACAUACUAAUCAUCCAAGAUAAUUAACUAUAAUCAAGAAAUCAACAUCAAUAAACAAGGUUGUAAACUAAUCAUCAAGGAUUA
rnacentral:lncRNA from 1 species